UCCACUGGAAAAGAUCUGGUAUUCAUUCGGGAAAGUUCAAAUACUUCCGAACAGACUUUUCAAAAACAGGAAGAAAUCUGGUCUGUCAUUAGAUUAUAAUAACUUACGCAAAAUUCAGAUCUUUGGUGGUCUCGUUGCAAAGUUUUGCCACCAUUUUCGAGCGUUUCAACCUCUCAAAGAUGAUGAUGAUAAUUCCAUGGCCCAGCAGUUGAAAGACUCAAUUUUUUUUGUAUUCAGUGAGGGUUCUAGAUUCUGGUUUGCAAUGUGUUUAUCCUUAGAAGGCGUUCAAUGCAAAACGGUAUAUUGUGUGCGUCUGACUGACUUGAUGGCAAAUCUGAUCCAAGAUUAUGGUGACACGUCUCGGCUUUGCGUUUACUUGUGGCUUGCGUUUCUUGAGAGGGAGAUGGACUCGGCUGCAACCUCAUUGCAUGAUAAAAGCAGGUUCCCUGAUUUAUUCUUGGCUUUUCGCAAAGAGGUGGAAAAAUUCUUAAAGUAUGCAGAGGCAGAUCCAGGCUUUAAUAACCGUCCAUUGAUCAAGUUCAAAGGAUCCAAUGAUGGAUAUUGCCUAGGUGCAUUAGUCGGUCAAUCUCUCUUCAUCAUCAAAUACAGCUGUGUCCUAGUUCGCAAGGCUUUAAUGCGUGAAGCGAAUUAUACAAGAAUCUGGCCAGUGAUGUUUAAAGUUACUAAUGAUGAUGUUGAAUGUUAUGAUGACUGAGCAAGGUGUGACACCGGAAAAUCACAAGUUGUGCAGGAGUCCAUCAGAAGCUCGUUCUUGCAUUACAGUAUGGAACCAAUGUCUAACGAUGAUGUUGCAUGUUAUGAUGACUGGGCAAGGGGUGACACCGAAAAAUCACCACCAAUAUUCCGUUUCUCCUGUCUUUGGAUGUAAAAAGCUAUUUUGCAGUUGGUAGGAUGCUGAAAUUUUGGUAGCAAUUGGCCUUGAUUGUUUUGGUGGUGAUUGGGAGGAUGUUGCAAUUUUUUGUAGCAAGUGACGCAAGAGUUCAUCAGAGCAAUCUUCGUUUAUCAAAUAUAUUUCUAAAAGAUACUUGCAGUCAAUGGCAUGUAGAAAUUUUUGUAGCAACUAUUACUAAA